rnacentral:rRNA from 1 species
UACGUAGGGUGCGAGCGUUGUCCGGAAUUAUUGGGCGUAAAGGGCUCGUAGGCGGUUUGUCGCGUCGGGAGUGAAAUCCACUGGCUUAACUGGUGGCUUGCUUUCGAUACGGGCAGACUGGAGGUAUGCAGGGGAGAACGGAAUUCCUGGUGUAGCGGUGAAAUGCGCAGAUAUCAGGAGGAACACCGGUGGCGAAGGCGGGUCUCUGGGCCGACACUGACGCUGAGGAGCGAAAGCGUGGGGAGCGAACAGG